ACGUCAGCACGUCGACGCGGGUUUUCUCCGCCGGCCCGCGACCCCCGCUCGGGUGCCGCUCUGCUCUUCCGCCGGUGUCCCUGGGCGAGGGGCGGUCGGGCCCUCCCGCGGCCGGCGCCGUUGCCGGGGCUGGGAGCUCGGACGGACUGCCUUCGCCUCCCCGCCGGGCUCUCGUCCGCGCCUCCCCGCCUCAGAGGCCUCGGGGCGGUGGCGGCCCCGGACUCGGCGGGGCUCGGAUGGGCGGCGGGAGGAGCGGCCGGGGAUGUUCAGUCUGAUGGCCACUUGCUGCGGCUGGGUCCGGCGCUGGCGCGAGCCGGUCAGAAAGGUGACUCUUGUGAUGGUGGGACUUGAUAAUGCUGGUAAAACGGCAACGGCGAAGGGAAUCCAAGGAGAGUAUCCUGAAGACGUAGCUCCUACUGUUGGAUUUUCCAAAGUUGACCUUAGACAAGGAAAGUUUGAAGUCACCAUCUUUGACUUGGGAGGUGGAAAAAAAAUUCGGGGAAUCUGGAAGAAUUACUAUGCUGAGUCCUAUGGGGUCAUAUUUGUUGUGGAUUCCAGUGAUGAACAGCGAAUGGAAGAGACAAAAGAGACGAUGUCAGAAGUACUAAGACAUCCUAGGAUCUCGGGAAAGCCUAUACUGGUGUUGGCAAAUAAACAAGACAAGGAAGGGGCCUUAGGAGAAGCUGAUGUGAUUGAAUGUCUGUCUCUGGAGCAGCUGGUCAAUGAGCACAAGUGCCUGUGUCAGAUUGAACCUUGUUCAGCAGUCUUGGGAUAUGGAAAGAAAAUUGACAAGUCCAUUAAAAAAGGCCUUUAUUGGCUGCUCCAUAUCAUUGCAAGAGACUUCGAUGCCUUAAAUGAGCGCAUCCAAAAAGACACCAUGGAGCAGCGUGCUCUUGAGGAACAAGAGAAGCAAGAAAGGGCUGAACGAGUACGAAAACUGCGGGAAGAAAGAGAACAAAGAGAGCGAGAAGAGGCUGAACUUGAUGGAACCAGUGGUCUGGCUGACUUGGACCCAGAACCUGUUAUUGUUAAUCCUUUCCAGCCCAUAGCGUCUGUAAUCAUUGAGAAUGAAAAAAAGCUUGAAAAAAAGAGGCAAAAUAUGGAGAAAGACAAUGAUGGCUGCUCCCUGAAACAUAAAAUGGAUCAUGAGCAAAUAGAGACGCAGAGCCAGAUCAGCAACAGCAGCCAAAGAAACAGUGAGUUUGGACUAGUAGAAAACUAUCAGGAGGCACUAACCCAGCCGCUGGAGAAUGAAGAUGAGACAGACCAGCCGUCGUCAGAAUCAGAUAAUGGUAAAAAGAAAACUAAGAAACUAAGAAUAAAAAGGAGUCACCGUGUAGAACCUGUUAGUACUGAUGAGUCUGCUCCUAAGAGUCCAACGCCACCCCCACCUCCUCCUCCUGUUGGCUGGGGAACCCCCAAAGUCACUAGACUUCCAAAACUCCAGCUUCUUGGUGAAACACGUCAUAACGGUCCUGGAGAAUGUGCGUGGCAGCCUCGAGCUCUGCGGGGCUGGUCAAGACCGAGUGCAGGCAGAGUUUCAAGACGGCUUUAUUAGGCUGCCCUCCAGGGCCGUGCCUGCAUGACGGGCUGCAUCUGCUCCAGGCGCUCACAGGCCACUCAGUGGACGAACGACCCUGAGGCAGCAGCACCACGGAGCGCUCGGCUACGCUCCAUACCUGCAGGACCGGACACAGGCCCCUAAUGCGUUCUCAGUAUUUACUUCAAACUUCUACGGGAAGCCGCUGCCUCCCCUGGCCGUGCGACAAAGACCCAACAGUGAUGCUCACGACGUGAUCUCAUAACCAGGUCGCGUGGCUGAGCUCUCCCACUGUCCUAAAGAGCUGGAGGACCUUCCCCCUCAGGGAAGAAAACCCUGAAGGCUGACGCCCGGGCAAGACGACCACAGCGGCUCCAAGGAGGCGACCAGCCUGAUGGUGACUUGUCCGUGUUCUUCAUGGUUAAAAAAGGAAGCGAGAUGACCAGCAGACGGGAUGAGCAUUGGCCAGCAAGAGUUGCGUUGACUCUGGUUCUGCAUCCCCCUCGGGCACUGUCCUGAGGGAAACCUCUUCAGAAGAGCCAGUGGCCCUGCACGCUCUCCUACUGUCUAACAGCCUCUAUUUCUGUAUCUGAAAUGUUUUUUGUGAGAUACAUGUGCAUGGAAGGGGGACUCCUGGGAAUUUAUAACCUAAAUUUUUAACUUUUUAUAUUUUUCUAAAACCUUUGUUUAAGAAUUUUAAUUACUAUGAUGUUGACUGUGCACUUUUCUAUAGAUGCUUUGUUUAAAUUGUGUCUGGAAAAUGGGGUUGAUUUACUUGACAAACAUGAACUAUACAAACAAUAUAUUUGUAUGGUUUGAGGUAUGUUUUAUAAUAGUAUUCUUCAUGAAGUCUACAUCCUAAUUUGACUUAAUUUUAAAAUAAUACCUUUUUAAAAUAGAUUCUCAGGUCUUUAUUCUACCAAAUUAUGGUAUUUGAAAGCACUACCCAAGGAAAGAGUUCAGUUUUUCUCUUGUUGUUUGUUUUCUUUGGUGAUGAUCCCAAAAAUGAAAGAGACUUGAAAUACCUUUUGACCUAAAUACUCUCUAAAUUAAUAAAAAUGUUAUGUGAGAAUUUAUUAAAAGUCCCAAUAAACGCUUCUUUUAAAGUUGGACCUUUUAGAUCCAGGUGCUCCUGUCACCCCUUGUUCUCUCAGAAGCUGCAGUGACUUUAGGUUUUUCUGACUCUUUUGUGCCUUGAAAUUAAAGGCAAAAAGACUGAAAAGCUUCUGUAGGUCCAGAGACUUGUGUUUUAUAACUGGGAAAUGCUUGGUUACUACAGUAAGAAUAAAACUGUCGGUUUAAAAUUACGUUUAUAAAGAAAUAAUUCCAAAAUAAAGUAUUACUUCUCUUGCACUGACGAAUGACAUCUACAGGAUGCUGUACUCGUCUGGCAUUUAGACAAACUUUUAGACAUAUAUUUUGAGUAAUAGAUUCAUGUUCAUUUAUAUGAAAGCAUACAUUUAUAUCAAGGAGAAAAUAUCAUAAACAGUAUGGUUUCCAUCACCGUGUUAAAAUUGGUCGUUUGGUAACUUGUACUGACCACAGACUCACACAGGUGUCUGACAGAAACAUGAUAGGUAAGUCCAAGGCAGUUUAAUGUGAUCGUUUACUUUUAGAAUUUUACUUCAGAGCAUCACAUCUUAUUCACAUUUUUUAACUCGUUGAACUUUAAUCAGGUCACUUACUACUGAUUAAACUCCAGGUUUUUGGGGUUUUGUACAUGUACCUACCUAGCACACUGAGUAACAAGCACCGUCCUUCAGAUCAAGUUUGAUAGGUGGCUGAAAUGUAAGGAAAACAAUACAAGGAGACAGAGUAUAAACUUUGAAUUAGAUUUUAGAGAAUAAACUUGUUUGCACAUCUUGUUGGUUCCUUUUGUAACAUUUACAUUUAUUCAUGUUUUUAAAAACUAAGCAUACUUUGCCAUCUUUUUAAUAUUCAUCUAGUUUGAGAAUAAAUAUGUUUUUAAAAUUUAUUUUCCUACCAGUGAUUACUGCAGUGUACAAUAAUUACUGAGUCCAUUUAAUAAAAAUGAUUUUGAAAUUAAAUAUAUGAUAAAGUAAAAUGUUUUAUAUCGCUCUCAAAAAAUUAAUUUGUAUUCUUAAAGCAUUCUAAAAAUAUUCUAAAAGAAAUUUUGUAAAUUCAGGUGGUUUUUAACAAGUAAAUGCCUAUUUUGUUAUAUGCUGCAUUUUUAUUAUUAAUCUUCAUGAAUUAUGACAUUUUCACACAAUAAAAAUAAUUUAUAUCAGUA